GAUGAAGAACGCAGCGAAAUGCGAUAAGUAAUGCGAAUUGCAGAAUUCAGUGAGUCAUCGAAUCUUUGAACGCACAUUGCGCCCCUUGGUAUUCCGAGGGGCAUGCCUGCUCGAGCGUCAUUAUAACCCCUCAAGCUCAGCUUGGUGUUGGGGCCUGCUGCACUGGCAGCCCUUAAAAUCAGUGGCGGCGCCAUCUGGCUCUAAGCGUAGUAAUUCUUCUCGCUAUGGAGUCCUGGUGGAUGCUUGCCAUCAACCCCCAAUUUUUCUAUGGUUGACCUCGGAUCAGGUAGGGAUACCCGCUGAACUUAAGCAUAUCAAUAAGCGGAGGA
rnacentral:misc_RNA from 1 species